AUAUCGGUCUUUCGGAGCUCAGCGCUAACUGGGAGCAGAUAUGUUGCCGUGGACCUCUCUGGGACCGUUGGCAUACAGACGGAUCUUUGGCAAAGUUGGAUGAAGAGUGAGGAUCUGUGAAAGAAGUUGGAUUAACCAUGGGCGUGCAGAGUGCUGUGAAUGGAAAAACAAGAUGAAAUGCGAGAAAUGUUAGAGAUGGCAGAUAAAUGGGCAAACAUGGCUUGAUGAUGGAAUUACUUGGACAACUUUGAAACUACUGGUUGCAUGUUUUCAUUUGGAUGGCUUGCUUGGGUAUGAAUGCUCUGCCUACAUACCAGAAGAGUGCAUUGGAGAAGCAGCCUUUGUUCUUAUGUUCACCUUUUAAAUGAAGGUGUCUUCCAUGGCUCUCCUUGACUUGAAGGUACCAGGAUGCUUUUACGUGAAGAUCCCCUUCAUUUUUGAAUUUCAAGGGCUCCCAUGGCAGAAGUGGACAGAUCGGCAAUUUCACCUCACUACUUAAAGGUGACUGGAUGGAGACUCAGAAGAAUUAUACCUCAGGCUGUUUUCCCAUCAUAGUUAACUUCAAAAAGUUAAUCAAUAAACUGAAUGGAAUUAAAU